CGACCCCAGGUCAGGCGGGAUCACCCGCUGAGUUUAAGCAUAUCA
rnacentral:rRNA from 2 species